rfam:Picea glauca, whole genome shotgun sequence.
AUGUACAUUCCUACAACAUACAAUCAAUGCACCUAAUCCCAUUAGAACUCCAAAGUUAAGCACGCUCAGGCUACAGUAGUAUUAGGAUUGGUGACCACCCAGGAAGUUCUAUUAUUUUACAUG